rnacentral:lncRNA from 1 species
GAGGCAGCGCUCCCCGCCCGGGACGCGCGCUGCUCUCCGUCCCCCUGCCGCCCGCCCUCUGGCCGGAGGCGGGCGGUGGGAGCGGGGCGUUGUCGUCUGCGAGACCGGGGGGCGGCGGAGGGGGUGCUGCCCGAGCUCUUCAGAUGGACACUAACACUUUAGAUGGACCUUUGAGCCAUAGCCCAUUUGGAGUGGAUCCAUCAGUGACCCAUCAAGAACAUUAAUGGCAUGGAGCAUCUGACAUCUGAGGAGAAGCUGAGAGACAUGUAAUGUUCAGCCUGGAGGACAGAAGGCUCUGGAAGGAUCUUACCAAAGUGAACAAAUACUUGAUGUCUGGGAGUGAUGCCCAGUGAAAAGGACAAGAGGCAAUGGGCACAGACUGGAACACGGGAAAUUCUGUUCAAACAUGAGAAAAACUUUCCUUGCCACUAGGUUGGCUGAGCAACAGCACAGGUUGCUUAGAGAGGUUACGGAGUUUCCAUCCUUGGAGAUAUACAAAACUCCACUAAUUGUGGCCCUAAACAACAUGCUCCAGCUGACCCCUGUUUCGAGGAGGGGGCUGGGGUAAGAUGAUUUUCAGAGGUACUCAUCCACAUCAGCCAUUUUGUGAUUCAGUGAUCCAACUGAUCUCAUAAAUGCUUUUCAAUUACAAGUAAACUCCAAUACACUGUAAAAUAAAACUAUUUACAAGCACACAGCACCACAAAACUUUUGUUAUCAUUUACAGUUCUCUCACAAAUUAUGUGUUUUGUUGGUUUGUUGUUGUUCUUUGCUUUUUAAAUUAUGGAUCUUAAAUAGAAAGCAGCUGAAGAUACAAAUUAAAUUACUCUUAAAUAAAUAUAUCAUCAUUCACACUGCUGUUAAGUAGCCACUUCUUCUGCAUAUUAAAUAGUAACUUCUUGUCAGAAGAAGGUGCAUAAAGACUGUUUACACAAGAUAUAAGGACAGCUUUGUUGGAAAACCUUUUUCUCCUCCUUUACAAAGUUGUGUAGUUUCCUACUGAUGAAGUUUUACAGUCAGGCUGACCAUCCUGCCUUUUCUGUAUUUUAUGCCUGAGCUGUUAGUAAGCUGUUUUAAGAAACUCUUACAGAAAAAUUAACAUCAACCAUGUAUUUUGCUUUCAUAAUUCAAUUAAUGAAAAAAACUUGAUAUUCAAAUUUCAUAAAUAAUAAAUAUUGCAUUUUACAUGUCCACUAAAUCAAGUCUGU